rnacentral:rRNA from 1 species
CCUACGGGGCGCUGCAGUGGGGAAUAUUGGACAAUGGGCGAAAGCCUGAUCCAGCCAUGCCGCGUGUGUGAAGAAGGCCUUCGGGUUGUAAAGCACUUUCAGUGGGGAAGAAAGCCUUGGGGCUAAUACCCUCGAGGAAGGACAUCACCCACAGAAGAAGCACCGGCUAACUCCGUGCCAGCAGCCGCGGUAAUACGGAGGGUGCGAGCGUUAAUCGGAAUUACUGGGCGUAAAGCGCGCGUAGGCGGUCUGAUAAGCCGGUUGUGAAAGCCCCGGGCUCAACCUGGGAACGGCAUCCGGAACGGUCAGGCUAGAGUGCAGGAGAGGAAGGUAGAAUUCCCGGUGUAGCGGUGAAAUGCGUAGAGAUCGGGAGGAAUACCAGUGGCGAAGGCGGCCUUCUGGACUGACACUGACGCUGAGGUGCGAAAGCGUGGGUAGCAAACAGGAUUAGAUACCCUGGUAGUC